CCCUUAGAAGGUCUGGGCUGCACGCGCGCUACAAUGACACAUUCAACGAGUUUCCGAAGUCGAUAGACUGCGGUAAUCAGCAAAAUGUGUCUCAGUGGGGAUAGAUGAUUGCAAUUGUUCAUCUUGAACAGGGAAUAUCUAGUAAGCGUGAGUCAUCAACUCGCAUUGAUUACGUCCCUGCUCUUUGUACACACCGCCCGUCGCUCCUACCGAUUGAAUGCCAAAAUGAAUUGGAUGGAGAGGGAUCCUCGGGUUCCUCGAAGUUCCGUGAAUUUUGUUAUUUAGAGGAAGGAAAAGUCGUAACA
rnacentral:rRNA from 1 species